rnacentral:rRNA from 1 species
AGUGAAUGCUGGCGGUAGGCCUAACACAUGCAAGUCGAACGGCAACACAGUAAGAGCUUGCUCUUACGGGUGGCGAGUGGCGGACGGGUGAGGAAUACAUCGGAAUCUACUUUUUCGUGGGGGAUAACGUAGGGAAACUUACGCUAAUACCGCAUACGACCUACGGGUGAAAGCAGGGGAUCUUCGGACCUUGCGCGAUUGAAUGAGCCGAUGUCGGAUUAGCUAGUUGGCGGGGUAAAGGCCCACCAAGGCGACGAUCCGUAGCUGGUCUGAGAGGAUGAUCAGCCACACUGGAACUGAGACACGGUCCAGACUCCUACGGGAGGCAGCAGUGGGGAAUAUUGGACAAUGGGCGCAAGCCUGAUCCAGCCAUACCGCGUGGGUGAAGAAGGCCUUCGGGUUGUAAAGCCCUUUUGUUGGGAAAGAAAAGCAGCAGGUUAAUACCCCGCUGUUCUGACGGUACCCAAAGAAUAAGCACCGGCUAACUUCGUG